UCCGUUCUUCCUCUCGAGAACGCUCGCGACGUGGCGUGAGACGGCGGCGGAAGCACGGUGCUCCGGCAUGGUGAGGACUUGGUGCGGCGGCGGCGGAAGCGCGGUGCUCCGGCAUGGUGAGGACUUGGUGCGGCGGCGGAAGCGCGGUGCUCCGGCAUGGCAAGUUGCUCCUGAGCCCUGCUGUCUGCUUGGACAAUCUACGUUCACCUUCCAAUGGAGCAGUGACAGUAGCGAGAGUCAAGAAGGGCAGGGGAGAGAGGGGAUGUCAUGCAGCAAAGGGCCCGGGCCGGACUCGAACCCGGGCUGCUGCAGUAAGGACUCAGCCUUAUGUGGUACCGCUACCAGAUAGUUGCUUAUGACUGGCUCUGUGGCUUAGACCGUACGGUGGACUACCAUACAGACUUGAGUGGCUGUUUGCCUUUCAGGUGUGGUGCAGAGCAAGAUGUUAGAAAAGGCAGACCUCGCCCUGCAGAAGGUUGAGGUGUUCUCUGGGGUUCUGAGAAGUCUGCAUGUGUCCAGUACACCAGUUUGUUCAAUGUCCCCCUUCCAUCUGGAUCACUGGUCCCUCGUCCAUCUGGAUCACCAACAGAAUUGUGCCAUGUCCUGACCAACCGACACCUGCCGUCUGGGUUUGGCUUCACUGGCCUGGAAACAUCUACUGGAAACGUGUGAUUUCUGGACGAACAUAACUUCUAAUGUACUCCUCAGCUGUCAAUCUGACCCCAACAGCAUUUUCUGAAACGUUGAAGAUGUGAACUUGAUUAAGAAUAAAAUGAACAGUACUAUAAAA